rnacentral:rRNA from 1 species
UACGGAAGGGGCAAGCGUUGUUCGGAAUUAUUGGGCGUAAAGGGCAUGCAGGCGGUCGGACGCGUUUUGUGUGACAGCGGGUGGCUCAACUACCCGAGCAUGCGAAAGACGGUCGGACUUGAGGACUCGAGAGGGACACGGAAUUCCGGGUGGAGUGGUGAAAUGCGUAGAGAUCCGGAGGAACACCAGUGGCGAAGGCGACACGCUGGGUCAUACCUGACGCUAAAACGCGACAGCAUGGGGAGCGAACGGG